rnacentral:rRNA from 1 species
AACGAACGCUGGCGGCAUGCCUAACACAUGCAAGUCGAACGAUACCUUCGGGUCUAGUGGCGCACGGGUGCGUAACGCGUGGGAACCUGCCCUUAGGUUCGGAAUAACUCCCCGAAAGGGGUGCUAAUACCGGAUAAUGUCUUCGGACCAAAGAUUUAUCGCCUUUGGAUGGGCCCGCGUUGGAUUAGCUAGUUGGUAGGGUAAAAGCCUACCAAGGCGACGAUCCAUAGCUGGUCUGAGAGGAUGAUCAGCCACACUGGGACUGAGACACGGCCCAGACUCCUACGGGAGGCAGCAGUGGGGAAUAUUGGACAAUGGGCGAAAGCCUGAUCCAGCAAUGCCGCGUGAGUGAUGAAGGCCUUAGGGUUGUAAAGCUCUUUUACCCGGGAUGAUAAUGACAGUGCCGGGAGAAUAAGCUCCGGCUAACUCCGUG